AAAAAAAAAAAAAAAAGAAAGAAAAGAAAAAGUUAGACAAAAUUGCCUUAUUCCAAGUACAGGAGAGGAUCCAAGGAUAAGGAGCUGGGAACACGCCUGCUGGGGGGCUCUCCUCCUCCCUCACAGAGAUGAAGCCCAAGGCUACACGAAGUCCCUGUCUCCUUGUGCUUGAGGAUGUGGGCCCUGCCGACGCUUUUACCUUUGUCCUUUCAAGCUCCCUUGGACUCAUGGUAUCCACCAUCCCCCUGUUCCCCGGGUAUCUGCAUGUUCUCAUUUCAGCCUGUCUGGCAUCAGACAAAGCAUCCUCAGUGUUGUCUUCCAAUUUCGUGUUCUGCCUUUCAGCUGCAUCUUCUCACAGAUGGAAGGAUCAGUCACACUUACAGGCAAGACCCCAGGGUGAGGAGGAUGUCUCUGUCCCUGGAACAAGGGGGCAACAAAGAGCCAGGAGGGACUCAAAGAGGCAUUUUCCCAUGAAUGGGGUGUGGACCAUGUCACAGGAAUACACAGAAGUCCUUGGAGGCUGUGACAGAAAGACAGCCCACACUCCAGGGCCAAGAGACGGUCUGUGUUCCCUUCCCUUUUUGUGUCUAUUUCUCCUCUGGCU